ACUACCAACAGCUGCCGCUUUACAUCCUGUGCGCGUCUUUUUUCGCUUUGCAAAGGCUCAACUUUGAAACUAGUUAACAAUUCAACGGAUAAUGGUGUUUCGUUAAGGAGUGUUGCGACGGAUUUAUAUACCUAGGAUAGUUCACCGUUUGGCCAUGCCCAGGAGGAAGCGACUCAGUUAUGGGGUGCAGAAGCAGCACAGACGAUCUUGACAUUUACUUGGUGAAUCAUCCCCAACAGCACUUGACGAUGGUUUCCUGACGUUGGGGACUGUCAAGUUGAGAUCACUGACUGUGUCUAUCAGGGUUGAUUAAUACAUACUGAACGAAGUGAUCCAAAGCCAUAUAUUGUCAAUACGCACGCAAGAGACAUCGACAUGCUCUGUUUACAUUCAGAUCAAAGCAAUGGCAAAACAUUUAAGUAUGAAAGUAUGUGUUAAUGAGGCAGGACACACUACUGUGUACGUUCAUGGUUAGGAAGUUGCCAAGGACCAUGUUUUGUGGAACAAAAUUUCUAGUGAUUAUCUUUUUCCCUUUAGCUCCCCUGACCUCAAUGUGCUAUUGGUGAGCUUUAGUGAUCGCCUUUUGUCCGUCGUGUGGUGUGUGUUGUGCGGCGUCAACAUUUGCCUUGUUCACACUCUAGAGGCCACAUUAAUUGUCCAAUCUUAAUGAAAUUUGGUCAGAACAUUUGUCCCAAUGAUAUCUUGGACAAGUUAAAAAAUGGUUCCGAUUUAUUGUCCGUCAUCAUGAAACUUGGUCAGAAGAUAUGGCCCAAUGAUAACUUGGGCAAGUUCAAAAUUGGUUCCGGUUGGUUGAAAAACAUUGGCACAAGGGGGUGGGGCAUUUUUCUUUUUAUGGCUAUAUAUGGCUAUUAAAAAACCUUUUUAACACUCUAGAGGCCACAUCUAUUGUCCCGUCUUCAUGGAACUUGGUGAAACAAUGUGUCCCAAUGAUAUCUCGGACAAGUUUGAAAAAGUUCCGGUCGGUUUAAAACCAUGGCCAGGCGGCGGAGCAUUUUUCCUUAUAUGGCUAUGGUAAAAACAUGUCAACACUCUUAGUCACAUUUAUAGUCCAAUUUCCAUGAUGAAAAACUCUAAUUUGAUUAUGAUUUUUCUUCAGAAACAUUAAUACCCUUCCUCUUACGAUAAUGGCUCUUAUGCCUAUAUGUUUGUUGCCUGCAUAACUGCAGAAUGUUAUUUGUUAUUUUUUAUAUCAACAACUUGCUUAAUAUGUGUUAUGAAUUAUAAAUUGCUUAAUUUUUGUUAUGCCAGGUGUAUUGAUAUUUGUUCAUGCAUUAUGAAGUUUUGAUGAAAUAUCAUUAAAUUGUAAAAACUA